UGGUUACACACUCUUUCAUGACUUUGAAGAGAAAACGACCACCAAACCUCCGUUCUCAUACCCUCUUCAAUUCCCGCAACCACCGUAUGAGUAAACCCUAAUCCUAACUAAACCCUAACUUUAAAGCAUGGAAAUCAUUGUGAUUUGUCAGUAAUUGACAUCCAAUGAAGAAGGGGCCAUGCAAAGAAGGGGAUGUUGACUGCGUUGAAGUAUCGGUUCUCCGUCCAGAUCUUCCGAUCACAACUAUCUCUGUAUGAUUUUCCGAAUUUAGAAUUGUUGCUGUGACGUAUUUCGAAUUGUUUGUUUAGUUGUUUAGAGCUAUGGUACUCUUCGAUUGAUUACCUGUUCCGAAAGAUAAAGAGGUUUUAAUUUGUCACAGUUGAAGUUUGAUGUUGUUCAGGUUCGCAUAGAAACGAAUCUAGCUGCUAGAACCUGAUCACGCAUGAUAGUGGCAUGAGAGAACCCCAAACUAACAUUUGAGUAUGCAUUCGGUUUUGACAUGUCAAAAGGAAUAUAUACUAUAUCAUAUUAACAUGUUCAGAGUUGAUAUUAUCUGGUUAAAUGUCAAAAUAGGCCGAAUCUUUGUGAUAUGUGUGUGAUCACUUUCUUUUAUUCGGUUUCGCAAAACAAUAACUCAACAGACUUGGUGAAAUAUUGAAUUGCCACAAUCUUUUUCCAUUUAAUCAAAAUUAGAGGUGUAUGUA